rnacentral:rRNA from 1 species
AUGAUGAACGCUAGCUACAGGCUUAACACAUGCAAGUCGAGGGGCAGCAUUUCAGUUUGCUUGCAAACUGGAGAUGGCGACCGGCGCACGGGUGAGUAACACGUAUCCAACCUGCCGAUAACUCGGGGAUAGCCUUUCGAAAGAAAGAUUAAUACCCGAUGGUAUAAUCAGACCGCAUGGUCUUGUUAUUAAAGAAUUUCGGUUAUCGAUGGGGAUGCGUUCCAUUAGGCAGUUGGUGAGGUAACGGCUCACCAAACCUUCGAUGGAUAGGGGUUCUGAGAGGAAGGUCCCCCACAUUGGAACUGAGACACGGUCCAAACUCCUACGGGAGGCAGCAGUGAGGAAUAUUGGUCAAUGGGCGCAGGCCUGAACCAGCCAAGUAGCGUGAAGGAUGACUGCCCUAUGGGUUGUAAACUUCUUUUAUAUGGGAAUAAAGUUUUCCACGUGUGGAAUUUUGUAUGUACCAUAUGAAUAAGGAUCGGCUAACUCCGUGCCAGCAGCCGCGGUAAUACGGAGGAUCCGAGCGUUAUCCGGAUUUAUUGGGUUUAAAGGGAGCGUAGGUGGACAGUUAAGUCAGUUGUGAAAGUUUGCGGCUCAACCGUAAAAUUGCAGUUGAUACUGGCUGUCUUGAGUACAGUAGAGGUGGGCGGAAUUCGUGGUGUAGCGGUGAAAUGCUUAGAUAUCACGAAGAACUCCGAUUGCGAAGGCAGCUCACUGGACUGCAACUGACACUGAUGCUCGAAAGUGUGGGUAUCAAACAGGAUUAGAUACCCUGGUAGUCCACACAGUAAACGAUGAAUACUCGCUGUUUGCGAUAUACAGUAAGCGGCCAAGCGAAAGCAUUAAGUAUUCCACCUGGGGAGUACGCCGGCAACGGUGAAACUCAAAGGAAUUGACGGGGGCCCGCACAAGCGGAGGAACAUGUGGUUUAAUUCGAUGAUACGCGAGGAACCUUACCCGGGCUUAAAUUGCAUUUGAAUAUAUUGGAAACAGUAUAGCCGUAAGGCAAAUGUGAAGGUGCUGCAUGGUUGUCGUCAGCUCGUGCCGUGAGGUGUCGGCUUAAGUGCCAUAACGAGCGCAACCCUUAUCUUUAGUUACUAACAGGUCAUGCUGAGGACUCUAGAGAGACUGCCGUCGUAAGAUGUGAGGAAGGUGGGGAUGACGUCAAAUCAGCACGGCCCUUACGUCCGGGGCUACACACGUGUUACAAUGGGGGGUACAGAAGGCAGCUACCUGGUGACAGGAUGCUAAUCCCAAAAGCCUCUCUCAGUUCGGAUCGAAGUCUGCAACCCGACUUCGUGAAGCUGGAUUCGCUAGUAAUCGCGCAUCAGCCAUGGCGCGGUGAAUACGUUCCCGGGCCUUGUACACACCGCCCGUCAAGCCAUGAAAGCCGGGGGUACCUGAAGUACGUAACCGCAAGGAGCGUCCUAGGGUAAAACU